UACGUAGGGGGCUAGCGUUGUCCGGAAUCAUUGGGCGUAAAGAGCUUGUAGGCGGUUUGUCGCGUCUGCUGUGAAAUUUCGGGGCUCAACCCCGAACUUGCAGUGGGUACGGGCAGACUAGAGUGUGGUAGGGGAGACUGGAAUUCCUGGUGUAGCGGUGAAAUGCGCAGAUAUCAGGAGGAACACCGAUGGCGAAGGCAGCUCACUGGGACGGUACUGACGCUGAGACGCGGAAGCGUGGGAGCAAACAGG
rnacentral:rRNA from 1 species